rnacentral:rRNA from 1 species
AGGGUGUAAACGCUGCAGACUUGGUGUUGGAAGCCCUUUGGGGGCAUUCAGUGCCGGAGAGAAGUUGUUAAGUCUGCUACUUGGGGAGUACGUCCGCAAGGAUGAAACUUAAAGGAAUUGGCGGGGGAGCACCGCAACGGGAGGAGCGUGCGGUUUAAUUGGAUUCAACACCGUAAACUCACCAGGGAAGACUGUUACAUGAAGGCCGAGAUGAAGACUCUGCCAGAUUUUCAGAGAGGAGGUGCAUGGCGUCAGUGACU